rnacentral:rRNA from 1 species
GGUUAAAACUCAAAUGAAUUGACGGGGGCCCGCACAAGCGGUGGAGCAUGUGGUUUAAUUCGAUGCAACGCGAAGAACCUUACCUGGUCUUGACAUCCACGGAAGUUUUCAGAGAUGAGAAUGUGCCUUCGGGAACCGUGAGACAGGUGCUGCAUGGCUGUCGUCAGCUCGUGUUGUGAAAUGUUGGGUUAAGUCCCGCAACGAGCGCAACCCUUAUCCUUUGUUGCCAGCGGUUAG